rnacentral:rRNA from 1 species
UACAGAGGGUGCAAGCGUUUAAUCGGAAUUACUGGGCGUAAAGGGUGCGUAGGUGGUUAGGUAAGUUAAGUGUGAAAGCCCCGGGCUCAACCUGGGGAAUGCCGCUUAAUACUGCCUAACUAGAGUAUUGUAGAGGAAAGUGGAAUUUCCGGUGUAGCGGUGAAAUGCGUAGAUAUCGGAAGGAACAUCAGUGGCGAAGGCGACUUCUGGACAAAUACUGACACUGAGGCACGGAAAGCAUGGGGA